UCACUGAACCUGUCAGUUCUCUGAUCCACUGAGAAACCCUGCUCUGAACCCUCUUGAGCUAGACAGAGGGAGAGAUUAAGAAAAUUCCUUUAACACUAUUUUUAUGAAUUAGAACAUGGCCACCAAUGUCCUUUUGUUUUUUUAAUCUUCUUUUGCUUUUAGGAAAAGAUGCCAAAGACUGAAGCAUGUUCUUGCCAAAUGAUCUAGCCUUAAAAUGAGGAAACUGAGGAUUGGAGAAGGAUCCUCAAAGAUGAUCACCAGUCUAAUUCAAACCCAAAUUGAUAUUCUUCCCAUUUCAAAGCAAUGAUAUUUCAUUAAAGCUCCUACUAAGAUCCAGUUUCACAUCUGAAGAAUGCCUCUGGCUUCCACAUCACAUGCAGAAGAUUGUUGGUGAACAUGUCCUUAACUGAGUAAAUAUUCAUGGUUUUGCUGACUGAAGUUGCUAGCUCAAUCUCUCACUCGAGGUAGUUUUUGAUGAUUCAUUCUCAAAUGCCUUUGUUCCCUGGUGACUAACUUUCCGUAAUCCCAUCAUAAAAUUUUUACAAGAUCCAGAAUAGUACAGAACCAAAAGGCAAUUUCUACCCCACAGUAAGGACUGACUCGUUCCUGGG